rnacentral:rRNA from 1 species
AGAGUUUGAUCCUGGCUCAGGACGAACGCUGGCGGCGUGCUUAACACAUGCAAGUCGAACGAGAUCCAUGAUGUAGCAAUACAUCGGAAGAUCUAGUGGCGAACGGGUGAGGAUCACGUGAGAAACCUGCCCCAGACUCUGGGAUAACAAUUGGAAACGAUUGCUAAUACCGGAUGACGUCGGAGAACCGCAUGGUUCACUGACGAAAGAUAUUUCGGUUUGGGAGGGUCUCGCGGCCUAUCAGCUUGUUGGUGGGGUAAUGGCCUACCAAGGCAACGACGGGUAGCUGGUCUGAGAGGAUGAUCAGCCACACUGGGACUGAGACACGGCCCAGACUCCUACGGGAGGCAGCAGUGGGGAAUCUUGCGCAAUGGGCGAAAGCCUGACGCAGCAACGCCGCGUGCGGGAUGAAGGCUUUCGGGCUGUAAACCGCUUUCAGCAGGAACGAAAAUGACGGUACCUGCAGAAGAAGGAGCGGCCAACUACGUGCCAGCAGCCGCGGUGACACGUAGGCUCCAAGCGUUGUCCGGAUUUAUUGGGCGUAAAGAGCUCGUAGGCGGUUUAGUAAGUCGGGUGUGAAAACUCUGGGCUUAACCCGGAGACGCCAUCCGAUACUGCUAUGACUUGAGUUCAGGAGGGGAGCGGGGAAUUCCUAGUGUAGCGGUGAAAUGCGCAGAUAUUAGGAGGAACACCGGUGGCGAAGGCGCCGCUCUGGACUGNNNCUGACGCUGAGGAGCGAAAGCAUGGGUAGCAAACAGGANNAGAUACCCNNNNAGUCCAUGCCGUNNNC